rnacentral:rRNA from 1 species
UACGUAGGGGGCAAGCGUUGUCCGGAUUUAUUGGGCGUAAAGAGUGUGUAGGCGGUUAGGUAGGUCCGUUGUGAAAACUCGAGGCUCAACCUCGAGACGCCGAUGGAAACCAUCUGACUAGAGUCCGGAAGAGGAGAGUGGAAUUCCUGGUGUAGCGGUGAAAUGCGCAGAUAUCAGGAAGAACACCCGUGGCUAAGGCGGCUCUCUAGUACGUGACUGACGCUGAGACGCGAAAGCGUGGGGAGCGAACAGG